rnacentral:lncRNA from 1 species
GGGCUGGCCACUAUGCACAGCUCCUGCAGCCCGUGGGUGAUGCUGCCCCAGCUGCCACUGCUGCUCCUGUUGCUUCUGCUGCUGCUGACUGCCACUGGCCCCGCCACAGCCCUCACAGAGGACGAGAAGCAAACCAUGGUGGAGCUUCACAACCACUACCGCGCCCAGGUGUCCCCGCCAGCCUCAGACAUGCUGCAGAUGAGGUGGGACGACGAGCUGGCCGCCUUCGCCAAGGCCUACGCUCAGAAGUGCGUGUGGGGACACAACAAGGAGCGCGGGCGGCGCGGAGAGAACCUGUUUGCCAUCACGGACGAGGGCAUGGAUGUACCGCUGGCCGUGGGGAACUGGCACGAGGAGCAUGAAUAUUACAAUCUCAGCACAGCCACCUGUGAUCCGGGCCAGAUGUGCGGCCACUACACUCAGUGUGGAGCAAAACUGAGAGAAUCGGCUGUGGUUCCCACUUCUGCGAGACGCUCCAGGGAGUGGAGGAAGCUAACAUCCAUUUGCUGGUGUGCAACUAUGAGCCCCCGGGGAACGUGAAGGGCCGGAAGCCCUACCAGGAGGGGACGCCUUGCUCCCAGUGCCCUCUUGGCUACAGCUGCGUGAACUCUCUCUGUGAGCCGGAGAGAAAACCGGAAAAAGCGCAGGAUUCGCCUCCAAGGGUGACUGAAGUCCCAGGCUCCAGGGAAACCGGUAUUCCAUCCCUAGCAACCUCUGAAUCUCUACAUUUCUCCUCGGUAACAAAGGUCUCGGACUCCCUGGCAACCGAGCCCUCACCUGCGGUAGAAACAAAGGCCCCACCUUCCUUAGCAACCGAAGGCCCCUCCUCCAUGGCAACAGAGGCUCAGUCUU